rnacentral:rRNA from 1 species
GACGAACGCUGGCGGCGUGCUUAACACAUGCAAGUCGAACGCUGAAGCUCAGCUUUUGUUGGGUGGAUGAGUGGCGAACGGGUGAGUAACACGUGAGUAACCUGCCCCCUUCUUUGGGAUAACGCCCGGAAAUGGGUGCUAAUACUGGAUAUUCACUGGUCUUCGCAUGGGGGUUGGUGGAAAGGGUUUUUCUGGUGGGGGAUGGGCUCGCGGCCUAUCAGCUUGUUGGUGGGGUGAUGGCCUACCAAGGCUUUGACGGGUAGCCGGCCUGAGAGGGUGACCGGUCACAUUGGGACUGAGAUACGGCCCAGACUCCUACGGGAGGCAGCAGUGGGGAAUAUUGCACAAUGGGCGCAAGCCUGAUGCAGCGACGCCGCGUGAGGGAUGGAGGCCUUCGGGUUGUGAACCUCUUUCGCUCAUGGUCAAGCCGCAACAAUGGUUGUGGUGAGGGUAGUGGGUAAAGAAGCGCCGGCUAACUACGUG